GAAGAAAGCUCAUGUUCAUGGUACUCCCUCGGCAAGACAACAUCUGCUGAGGACAAUGUAAAGAACGCUAGCUCCUUAUUAACUUGGGCAGGCAUCCAGGUAUAGGGAAGAACCUGUUCCCUUUCAUGCACUCCCCUUGCAAGAAUUUAAUCUGUUCCCUGUUUUUCAAAAUAUCUUUUCAAUCAAUCUUAUUCUGUGAAUGAUGCAUCACCCCAUUCUCCCUGUGCUUCUUGCUGGCUAAUAAAAGUGGGUCCACCGGAGAGAUUGCUGAGUUUUCCACUGGAGGCAAACUUCUCCUUGUCUCCUUGCAUCUUGAGUAUUGUCUUUGUCUCUGUUCCCUGUCUUUGGCAGGUAUCCCAGGAUCUGAACAACAGUACAGAUUACAUAAGCCAUGCACUCACCUCAGAUACAUCACAGCAAUAUCCAUGGAGCCUUGGGAGCCUUGGGUGUAGAGGGGUGGAUGAUUUAGGAAGUGCCAUGGUACCAUGGGAGGACUUUACUUUAAACGCAAUAGAACAAAAGAAUGCAGAAAGGCAUGAGCAGUGGACAGAGGUGGGAGAAGCUCUUUAGAGCUGAUCCAAAUGAAAGUGGCUAGUGUGUGAGUCUGCUGAAUCCUGCAAAGCUGUGCCUGAGGCCUUGCAUGUUCCAUCAGGAUCUAAGCAAUAGGGUAGGUAACCCUAAUAAUAUCUAACUUUGUAAAGUACCUGCUUUACAUGACCGUGCAAGUUUACCUGCUUUUACAUGAAUUUUAUCUCAUUUAAUUUUACACCAGAUGAAAGAAUAACUCAAUGAAGUCCCCAAAAUCUGAUAAUUUAGUGCUAAGCCUGUGUCCUCCUCUACCUGUGCCCGGCUGCCCUUUGCUGACCUCCUUGCCACUGAGUGUCAGUAGCCUCUGAUUCCUUCCCCUGCCUACUCCUUUCAGUCCUGAAGCUUGCUUGGUUAUUAUUUCUAGCUCUUCUUGUACAUUUUGAAUUCCAAACUUCAAGUUCUUUAUCUCAGUUUUAUUCUCUGGACUAUGUUCCUCAGAUCAACCUACCAGAAAAGAUCCCCUGCUUCCCAACUUUGGAAACUACUCUCUGGUUCUUUGGCUCAUCUCUAAACCAGCUCCUUCAACAGGUGAAGUUGGACACCAACAUUUAUUUGUAUUUGGAAAAAAUAAAAUAAUAACACUUUCUAUACAUGUGUAUGAAGAACAAAUAAAUACCUGAGACUUAGACGAAUAAUUUGUUUGCCUUCAGAUAGUAUUUAUUUAGAGGCAUUGCUGUAAAGUUUACAAAUAGGCCCACUUAAUUUCAUCGUCUGUUGUUCACGUACUAAAAUAACGGCUUUGGGUUACUAAAUUGUAAGUGAAUAAGUUAGAAAGUUUAAAUCAGGCAGAGAUGUAGGAGGAUGGAUGACAAAUUAGAAGAUUGCCUUUUCCCAGG
rnacentral:lncRNA from 1 species